AACAAGUUAGCGGCGGACGGGUGAGUAACACGUGGGUAACCUGCCUGUAAGAUGGGGAUAACUCCGGGAAACCGGAGCUAAUACCGAAUAACACUUUCGCUCGCAUGAGCGGAUGUUAAAAGACGGUUUCGGCUGUCACUUACAGAUGGACCCGCGGCGCAUUAGCUAGUUGGUGAGGUAACGGCUCACCAAGGCGACGAUGCGUAGCCGACCUGAGAGGGUGAUCGGCCACACUGGGACUGAGACACGGCCCAGACUCCUACGGGAGGCAGCAGUAGGGAAUCUUCCGCAAUGGACGAAAGUCUGACGGAGCAACGCCGCGUGAGUGAUGAAGGUUUUCGGAUCGUAAAACUCUGUUGUUAGGGAAGAACAAGUAUGAGAGUAACUGCUCGUACCUUGACGGUACCUAACCAGAAAGCCACGGCUAACUACGUGCCAGCAGCCGCGGUAAUACGUAGGUGGCAAGCGUUGUCCGGAAUUAUUGGGCGUAAAGCGCGCGCAGGCGGUUCCUUAAGUCUGAUGUGAAAGCCCACGGCUCAACCGUGGAGGGUCAUUGGAAACUGGGGAACUUGAGUGCAGAAGAGGAAAGCGGAAUUCCACGUGUAGCGGUGAAAUGCGUAGAGAUGUGGAGGAACACCAGUGGCGAAGGCGGCUUUCUGGUCUGUAACUGACGCUGAGGCGCGAA
rnacentral:rRNA from 2 species